ensembl:lncRNA
AAAAGGGAAAUUUUGCUAUGUUUAGUAACUAAGUUUUGAUUAAAAUCUAUUUCAAAUGUCGUUGUUUUUUCCAGUUUAGUUUAGAUAAUUAGAUCACUGUUCAUGCGGUAAGACUGUAUUACAUUUAUAGUGGGCGUUCAAUAAAAUGUGAUUGAUUACAAGUUACUGUAAAUACAUGUCGUAACUUUUUUUAGUUACACUUGCGAACAUCAGACACGCCGUCCUCUCGAUAUAUUCACAUACAUUCACUUUCUACAUGACAGAGACACGGGCUAAUUUCCCAGGUUGUGUCAUCAGCACCUGCGGUUAGAAACCCCAAAAAUGAAACCUUCCUCUUCUGGUAUCAAGUUAUCCUCUUGUUGACAUUUUUUUCAGUCAGCGUAAAUUGUCCAACGCUCUGUCCUGUUGUCUUAUUAAAGUCCUUGCUUAGUGACUUUGUAUGUUUCCUGACGUCCCUACAGUCAUCAGUGGCUGUUACAGUACAGCUGCUGCUCCGAUUCCGACUCGCUGGAGUCAGGAAGUGGCAGAUUUCCUGGAAUGUGUGUGUUUCCUUCUGGUGAAGAGCAAUAACAGCAGCAGGCUCUUUCUCGGCCUGGCUACGGAGCGUAGCAUCCCAUUUGCUCUGUUUUUGACAUUGUGUGUGUCUCUGUGCGCAUGUGUGUGUGUGUGUGUGUGUGUGUGUGUGUGAUCCUCUUUUUGUGCUGACUGAAUAUCUUUACAGUAACUGAAAACAUGAUCUGACAUGGUGGUGAUGUUUGGCAGGUUUCCAUUAGUGAAAUGCUUUUAUACUGUACACAAAAAGUGUGUGUGUGUGUGUGUGUGUGUGUGUGUGUGUGUGUGUGUGUGUGUGUGUGUCUCUGUAUAUGCUGGAAUGUGUGAGAUUACCGACCGGAGAGACUUAGUCAGGAUGAGGUCAGGCUACAGGAGUACACACACAGAUAGCACAAUAAGCACUUUUCCAGAAACUGCCAUGAACUCCAGGAAUGAGCUGGGAACAAACAUUUAUUAUUAUUAUUGUUAUUGUUGUUAUUAUUAUUAUUAUUAUUAUUAAUAGUAGUAGAAGUAGUAGUAGUAGUAGUAGAAGUAAAAUAAGUAGUAGUAGUAGCAGUAGUAGUAGUAGAAGUAGUAGUAGCAGUAGUAGUAGAAGUAAUAGAAGUUGAAGUAGUAGUAAUAUAAGUAGUAGUAGUAGCAGUAGAAGUGGUAGUAGUAGUAGCAGUAGUAGUAGUAGUAGUAGUAGUAGUAGAAGUAAUAGAAGUUGUAGUAGUAGUAGUAAAGUA